rnacentral:rRNA from 1 species
UACGGGGGGGGGCAAGCGUUGUUCGGAAUUACUGGGCGUAAAGGGCUCGUAGGCGGCCAACUAAGUCAUACGUGAAAUCCCUCGGCUUAACCGGGGAACUGCGUCUGAUACUGGAUGGCUUGAGUUCGGGAGAGGGAUGCGGAAUUCCAGGUGUAGCGGUGAAAUGCGUAGAUAUCUGGAGGAACACCGGUGGCGAAGGCGGCAUCCC